rnacentral:rRNA from 1 species
GACGAACGCUGGCGGCGCGCCUAACACAUGCAAGUCGAACGGAGCUUGCUUGUCAGAUCCUUUCGGGGUGACGACUUGUAAGCUUAGUGGCGAACGGGUGAGUAACACGUGAGUAACCUGCCCCAGAGUGGGGGACAACAGUUGGAAACGACUGCUAAUACCGCAUAAGACCACAGCACCGCAUGGUGCAGGGGUAAAAACUCCGGUGGUAUGAGAUGGAUCCGCGUCUGAUUAGCUAGUUGGUAAGGUAACGGCUUACCAAGGCAACGAUCAGUAGCCGACCUGAGAGGGUGACCGGCCACAUUGGGACUGAGACACGGCCCAA